rnacentral:lncRNA from 1 species
GCUUAAAGAGAUCCAUUUUAUUGGUCCGUAGCAGGUCCAGGUGUAGCUGGCGCCCCGCGGGUUUUAGACUGGUGUAAAUAUGCCCCUCCCUCCCCACACUGAUCCUAUAAAACCCAGGAAGGAAUGACAGAAUAAACAGACCACAAUAUAUAAUAUAAUGUUACAAUAAUACAAAUGAUAUAAAUUAUAUUGUGAAACAGGUUAGCAUUACCAUCCGCACACAAGCAGCUCCCAAGAUAUAUUAAGGUGUAAAUAAAGAUGAGAGUGAGAACAUUGGAAUAAUACAGAAAUCUGAACAUGGGACGCUUUCAGACAGGAAGGAGUGUCAUAAUGUUGUCUGUGAAGCCCAGUAACCUCAGAAAGGGUCCUGUCUGUCUCAGCUGUAAUACCAGUCUACAGGGUAACAGUCUGGUGGUCCAGUCUACAUGGUAACAGUCUGGUGGUCCAGUCUACAUGGUAACAGUCUGGUGGUCCAGUCUACAUGGUAACAGUCUGCUGGUCCAGUCUACAGGGUAACAGUCUGCUGGUCCAGUCUACAGGGUAACAGUCUGCUGGUCCAGUCUACAGGGUAACAGUCUGGUGGUCCAGUCUACAGGGUAACAGUCUGCUGGUCCAGUCUACAGGGUAACAGUCUGGUGGUCCAGUCUACAGGGUAACAGUCUGCUGGUCCAGUCUACAGGGUAACAGUCUGCUGGUCCAGUCUACAGGGUAACAGUCUGCUGGUCCAGUCUACAGGGUAACAGUCUGGUGGUCCAGUCUACAGGGUAACAGUCUGGUGGUCCAGUCUACAGGGUAACAGUCUGCUGGUCCAGUCUACAGGGUAACAGUCUGCUGGUCCAGUCUACAGGGUAACAGUCUGCUGGUCCAGUCUACAGGGUAACAGUCUGCUGGUCCAGUCUACAGGGUAACAGUCUGCUGGUCCAGUCUACAGGGUAACAGUCUGCUGGUCCAGUCUACAGGGUAACAGUCUGGUGGUCCAGUCUACAGGGUAACAGUCUGGUGGUCCAGUCUACAGGGUAACAGUCUGGUGGUCCAGUCUACAGGGUAACAGUCUGCUGGUCCAGUCUACAGGGUAACAGUCUGGUGGUCCAGUCUACAGGGUAACAGUCUGGUGGUCCAGUCUACAGGGUAACAGUCUGCUGGUCCAGUCUACAUGGUUUAGCUUAUAAAACGGUCCAGAAACACAGAAAGGCGUUAAAAUGAAUUUCCAUUUAACAGUCAAUAAGACAAGUCGUAAACAACAACAGUUUGUCUGUCAGGUGUCCUGCCGUCCCUGUUGGUUAGUAAAGUGUCCCAACGGUGGCCUGUCUAGGACAGGUCAGUUCCAGACAGACAGACAGGUUGUGUAGUCUAGGACAGGUCAGUUCCAGACAGACAGACAGGUUGUGUAGUCUAGGACAGGUCAGUUCCAGACAGACAGACAGACAGGUUGUGUAGUCUAGGACAGGUCAGUGACAGACAGACAGACAGGUUGUGUAGUCUAGGACAGGUCAGUUCCAGACAGACAGACAGACAGGUUGUGUAGUCUAGGACAGGUCAGUUCCAGACAGACAGACAGGUUGUGUAGUCUAGGACAGGUCCGUUCCAGACAGACAGUCUAGGACAGGUCAACGACAGACAGGCUGUGUAGUGACAGACAGCUGAUAUGAACAGUGAUUAGAGUGUAGUAAUAACAAUAGAAAAGAUGAUUACGACAGUGACAUUAAAGACCAACAUUUAUCCCCCGUUAACCACAGUCCUGGAAUCAGAUGUUAACUCCUGUCUCUACAUAGUGGAGGUUAGGACCCCCGUUAACCACAGUCCUGGAAUCAGAUGUUAACUCCUGUCUCUACAUAGUGGAGGUUAGGGACCCCCGUUAACCACAGUCCUGGAAUCAGAUGUUAACUCCUGUCUCUACAUAGUGGAGGUUAGGACCCCCUGUUAACCACAGUCCUGGAAUCAGAUGUUAACUCCUGUCUCUACAUAGUGGAGGUUAGGACCCCCUGUUAACCACAGUCCUGGAAUCAGAUGUUAACUCCUGUCUACAUAGUGGAGGUUAGACCCCCGUUAACCACAGUCCUGGAAUCAGAUGUUAACUCCUGUCUCUACAUAGUGGAGGUUAGACCCCCGUUAACCACAGUCCUGGAAUCAGAUGUUAACUCCUGUCUCUACAUAGUGGAGGUUAGGGACCCCCUGUUAACCACAGUCCUGGAAUCAGAUGUUAACUCCUGUCUACAUAGUGGAGGUUAGACCCCCGUUAACCACAGUCCUGGAAUCAGAUGUUAACUCCUGUCUCUACAUAGUGGAGGUUAGGACCCCCCGUUAACCACAGUCCUGGAAUCAGAUGUUAACUCCUGUCUCUACAUAGUGGAGGUUAGGACCCCCGUUAACCACAGUCCUGGAAUCAGAUGUUAACUCCUGUCUACAUAGUGGAGGUUAGGACCCCCGUUAACCACAGUCCUGGAAUCAGAUGUUAACUCCUGUCUACAUAGUGGAGGUUAGGACCCCCCGUUAACCACAGUCCUGGAAUCAGAUGUUAACUCCUGUCUACAUAGUGGAG